GGACUACAGGGGUUUCUAAUCCUGUUUGCUCCCCACGCUUUCGCGCCUCAGCGUCAGUACCGUCCCAGCGAGCUGCCUUCGCCAUCGGUGUUCCUCCUGAUAUCUGCGCAUUUCACCGCUACACCAGGAAUUCCACUCGCCUCUUCCGGACUCUAGCCCGGCAGUAUCCACCCGCAUCCAAGGGUUGAGCCCUUGACUUUCAGAGCGGACUUACCGGGCCGCCUACGCGCUCUUUACGCCCAAUGAUUCCGGACAACGCUUGCCCCCUACGUAUUACCGCGGCUGCUGGCAC
rnacentral:rRNA from 1 species